ACGCUCGACACCUACGGGAGGCAGCAGUGGGGAAUAUUGCACAAUGGGGAAACCCGGUACGAUGCAGCAACGCCGCGUGAGGAAGACGGUUUCGGUAGUUGUAACUUACUUGUUCUUAGUUGAAGAUAGUGACGGUAGCGUAAGGAAGGCAACGACCCGACCGGCCGUAACCUACGUACCACGCAGCCGCGGUAACUACUGAGGCGGGCGUGGCGAACGGACG
rnacentral:rRNA from 1 species